CCUACGGGAGGCAGCAGUGGGGAAUAUUGGACAAUGGGCGCAAGCCUGAUCCAGCAAUACCGCGUGUGUGAAGAAGGCCUUAGGGUUGUAAAGCACUUUCAAUUGGGAGGAAUACCUAUCGGUUAAUACCCGAUAGAUUGACAUUACCUUUAGAAGAAGCACCGGCUAACUCCGUGCCAGCAGCCGCGGUAAUACGGAGGGUGCGAGCGUUAAUCGGAAUUACUGGGCGUAAAGCGUGCGUAGGUGGUUGUUUAAGUCAGAUGUGAAAGCCCCGGGCUCAACCUGGGAACGGCAUUUGAUACUGAACGGCUGGAGUUUGGGAGAGGUAAGUGGAAUUUCAGGUGUAGCGGUGAAAUGCGUAGAUAUCUGAAGGAACACCAGUGGCGAAGGCGACUUACUGGCCUAAAACUGACGCUGAGGCACGAAAGCAUGGGGAGCAAACAGGAUUAGAUACCCUGGUAGUCCAUGCCGUAAACGAUGUCAACUAACCGUUGGGUUUCUUUGAAACUUAGUGGUGGAGCUAACGUAUUAAGUUGACCGCCUGGGGAGUACGGUCGCAAGGCUAAAACUCAAAUGAAUUGACGGGGGCCCGCACAAGCGGUGGAGCAUGUGGUUUAAUUCGAUGCAACGCGAAGAACCUUACCUACCCUUGACAUGUCUGAAAUCCUUAAGAGAUUAGGGAGUGCCUUCGGGAAUCAGAACACAGGUGCUGCAUGGCUGUCGUCAGCUCGUGUCGUGAGAUGUUGGGUUAAGUCCCGUAACGAGCGCAACCCUUGUCCUUAGUUGCCAGCGCGUAAUGGCGGGAACUCUAGGGAGACUGCCGAUGAUAAAUCGGAGGAAGGUGGGGACGACGUCAAGUCAUCAUGGCCCUUAUGGGUAGGGCUACACACGUGCUACAAUGGUCGGUACAGAGGGCUGCAAAAUCGCAAGGUCAAGCAAAUCCCACAAAGCCGAUCUUAGUCCGGAUUGGAGUCUGCAACUCGACUCCAUGAAGUCGGAAUCGCUAGUAAUCGCGAAUCAGAAUGUCGCGGUGAAUACGUUCCCGGGCCUUGUACACACCGCCCGU
rnacentral:rRNA from 1 species